CCAUCUGAGGGUGUGCUUCCAAUUUGGAUGGGCAGGAAAAUCAGCAGAAAUCUUGCUUAAAUCAGACUCACUUCUGUGGCUGUGAGUUGAGCCCAAGGGUUUCUAUGUCUAACAAGUCCCCAAACUGUCAGUGUUGUCUGGUUCUUGGACUAGCCACAUUCCCCUCUGGGCUACUCUGCUCUGUGGCCUUGUUCAGUUCGCUGUAAAGUUGGGUAAAAUGGGGGAGGCAGCCUAUAGAGUAUUUUUGGACACUCGGAUCCAUGGGGUAGAAAAAAAGGAGCAGAGAGGAUGUGAGUCUGGGGCUUUCUGGGUUCAAGUUCAAAGUUUGUCUUUGCUACAGAGUUGCUAGGCGACAGGUGACAGAAUGCUCAGCUUGCCAGUUUCCCCAUCUAUUGACUUGACAUAUUAGCCCCCACUCCCCAGUGUAGGCAUGAGGCUCCUGGGAGAUCAGCAAUGAAGGUGCCCAGUGCAGAGCCUGGCCCUCUCUACUCCAGAUAUGACAGGAACCACAAUGGUGGCACUCGAGAAGAGUGUAACCUGGCACUUGUCCAGACUGCAGGCUUGGACACCACUGUAGGCAGCUCAGAUCUAAAUCAGAUCUGUCACGGCUUAUGUUCCAGGGAUCUGUCACCUCGUCAGGCCUCCGUGGACACUGCAUGCAUAUGGUGUAAAACACUAUACACCAGAGAGCCGGGACUAAAGGUGUGUGCCACCAAACUGGUUAAGACGAGUACUUUAUAAAUGCCUACACAUCCGUAGGCACAGCUGAUCAGGAAGCUGAUUCUAAGGCAGCAACACGAAGCUAGAGCUGUACAGCCUUUCUGUCCUGUAGUCACCUGUCCGGUGGGGACUCACUGGCUCUCACGAGAUGCAUUAUUUAGAGCUAAGCCAAUCCCUGGAAGAGGCGACAUUCCUUCAUCGAGUACUUUCAGUGUGUGCCACGCUAGGGGCUGACAAUACAUCAGAAAGCAAGACGGCCUUAGCCCACACCUGGAGGAGCUGGGCUGGAAACAGAAGCAAAUGCACGAAUGAGCAAUGGGAGCCAGGAGUGGUGAUGUACACCCCUCUCUCUCACCCGGAGCCUCCAGAGGCUGACGCACAAACAUCACCAGUCUAAGACCAGCCUGGGCCACACAGUGAAAGGUCUUACCUCAAAGAAAAAAAAAAAGUUUUGUUUAUUUAUUCGUUGUUUCAUGUUGUUUCUUUCUUUGUUUCCUAAU
rnacentral:lncRNA from 1 species